GGUGGCUCAGUGGUAGAGCGCUUGCCUUGCAUGCGAGGCCCUGGGUUCGAUUCCCUCAGCACCA
rnacentral:tRNA from 1 species